rnacentral:rRNA from 1 species
UCCAGACUCCUACGGGAGGCAGCAGUGGGGAAUAUUGCACAAUGGGGGAAACCCUGAUGCAGCGACGCCGCGUGGAGGAAGAAGGUCUUCGGAUUGUAAACUCCUGUCCUUGGGGACGAUAAUGACGGUACCUGAAGAAGAAGCCCCGGCUAACUACGUGCCAGCAGCCGCGGUAAUACGUAGGGGGCAAGCGUUAUCCGGAUUUACUGGGUGUAAAGGGGGCGCAGACGGCGAUGCAAGCCAGGGGUGAAAGCCCGGGGCCCAACCCCGGGACUGCCCUUGGAACUGCAUGGCUGGAGUGCGGGAGGGGCAGGCGGAAUUCCUGGUGUAGCGGUGAAAUGCGUAGAUAUCAGGAGGAACACCGGCGGCGAAGGCGGCCUGCUGGACCGCGACUGACGUUGAGGCUCGAAAGCGUGGGGAGCGAACAGGAUUAGAUACCCCGGUAG